rnacentral:lncRNA from 1 species
CCGCACUCCGCUCGCCCCCCGCGCCGCUCGCUACCUGCGCGCACAGCCGGAGCGUGGGCCGGGCACUCACCUCGGCUCCUCUCUCUGCAUAUGUUAAUGCAGUUCUAUAGGGGAGCGCGGUUCACGUGUGCUAAUUAAAAGCAAUAGAGAGAAAGGGCUUCCUUGCGGGAGCCAGGAGUCCCCGGCACUACUCGUAAACGAGCAACUGCACACUGCUCUGUAGUCCCACCGCUAUUCAUAAAAAUGUGUAGAAAAUGUACUUUCCUAAUGAAUUGUUGCUAUAUAUGGUAAGGUAAGAGCUAACCUAAUGGAUGAUAGUGUCUGUUUCCGUUUUUUUUUUUUUUAUGUUUUACGUGUAGCCAUCUGACCACUUUUUAUUGGGUGACAUAUCAUAUGAGCACUUUGGUGUAGGGCUUGUAAAACUGGAGCUAGAGGUAGCGCUGGAAAUACCGUAAGAACGCCAAAGAAUUAAAGUAUACGUGUCGUGAAAUAGGUACUGAAUAAUACAGACCCGGGCAUGACACUCUACUCUUUAUUGGAAAAAAAUAUAUGCCCGACAGUCUUUGGGGAGGGCUAACUUUUGCCCUAUACGUUCCGGCAGAUUUAGACAACGCAGAAACGCCACAGGAAGCGACAAUCACGACAAGAAACGGUAAUUUUUAUUUUUCGUUCCAUACAAGUCAGACAAUAGAAAAUACAUUGCAUAAAAAUAUGAAUACAUGUUCCUUAAUAGCACACAGUGUAUCUACGUAUAAUUACUGAGCGUUCAGGGUUCUUUUUUGUUCUAGAUUUUGAAUUCUCGAUAGUCUGCCUUUUCAUAUUUUGUAGUUUGGAUAUGUAUUAGAUGCCCCUUUUCAUACCAUGUGCUCAACAUAACAGAAAUGUAAUCUGCACUUGCCUGUAAAAUGAAAUUGUGGUCACAAAAGAAAUGAUAAGACACUCUCAUUAGGAGGCAAGCCGGUCAAGGGACCUACCUGGCUGAAAGGAAAGGGAUAUUAUGCAGGAAAUGCUGGCCCGGAUUGUACUGGCAUACCGUGGUUUACAUUUGUGUGAAUUAUAUUCUAAUUUAAUAUGAAAAGAGGAUUCGUCUAAUGUUUUACACUCCUUCUGUACUUCAGAGCAGUUUAAAUAGGGUUUCUCUGUGUAUUCCAUACAGAAGGUGGGGAUAUUGGCAUUAGAACAAGACUCUGACUGUAAUAAUUAGAGAAUCAUAAGCAUUCCUCUUUAAAGUAAAUAGAGACUGUUUAUUCUUAAGAAAUCCACGCAGGAUGUUUCUCCUUUACGUCACAGCCAUCUGGAGACCUAUAAAAAGAUUAGAAAACAAGCAUGGCAAUCACAUACUAAUCUACAGGCCAUUAAUGGGAAUUUAUAAGGGAG